AUGCACUUCAACGUGCACUGCGGUUCCUGCGCUCCGGCGGCCACCGUCAGAUGCCCGCUCGCUACGUUUUCAGAACC
rnacentral:sRNA from 1 species